rnacentral:rRNA from 1 species
GAACGCUCUUGGGGUUUCGGCCGCAAGGGAGUGGCGGACGGGUGAGUAGCGCGUGGGAACCUGCCUUGGAGUGGGGGAUAACCGAGGGAAACUUCGGCUAAUACCGCAUACGCCCGCGGGGGAGACCUUGCGGGGAAAGAUUGAUCGCUCGGAGAGGGGCCCGCGUCGGAUUAGGUAGUUGGUGGGGUAACGGCCUACCAAGCCAUUGAUCCGUAGCUGGUCUGAGAGGACGGUCGGCCACACUGGAACUGAGACACGGUCCAGACUCCUACGGGAGGCAGCAGUGGGGAAUUUUUCGCAAUGGGGGCAACCCUGACGAAGCAACGCCGCGUGGGUGAUGAAGUAUUUCGGUACGUAAAACCCUUUCGACGGGGACGAAACCGCAAGGUUGACGGUACCCGUAGAAGAAGCCCCGGCUAACUCCGUG